CCUGUGUGAAAAGUAUUGAUAGUUUAUGGAUAUUAAUUCAAUAAUAUCUAGUUUGCUUUUCAUGGUCUUUACUUAGAUAUUCUUCCACUAAUUUAGAAUUUUGCAUAGCGAAAACAUUCUACCUGGCUUUAUCAAUAUUUUUGAGGUAAUAUUUAUUCCUGCAUCCUCCUCAUAUUCUGCUAAAACACCUAGUUUAGUUAUGAAUUCAUCAAGGCUCAAUCAUCAGUAACAUGAAUAUCCAAAAAGAGGAGAGUGGAGAUUUUUUUGAACCACUAAGGACAUCAUCUUUACAGAACUUGGGUGGUAAGAACACAAGAGAUGUUUUUAGUUGGAUCAUCAGGAAGCACAGCAGUGCAACACAACAAAAAUAACUGGUGAUGUCAAAGCCUUCCUCCAGCCUCACUGCUCGUUCUCGUAUAGGUGCUUAAAAAAAAUCUAAUGGUUCAGCAGUGUAACAUUUCUGUCCCCUAAACAUGUGUUUUGAGUAACUGCCUACAACGUAUUAUAAAAGCAAUGAGAUGCAUGCUCACUGCAUCUAUCUCAAAAAAAAAAAAGUGUUCUUCAAGAACACAUAAAAAGAUGCUAAGAUGUGUUAGAUCUUUUGCGGGGUAGCAUGAAUGGCAACAAAGAACUGAACCCUGGGCUUACACGUGUAAAUCUGAGUUGUUUCUCCUGAAAAAGUGCAGGUGCACAGAGCUGCACUUGGAUGAGGCAAGGCCUUUCUUUAUCAAGUUCUCCUAGGCACCAACUAAGCAUCACUGGAAGUUCCCUUAAAAUGAACGGCAAUCAUUUGGUUUUGGAAUGACAUUAUAUGCAUCCACAUGGCAUCAGUAAAUAUUUAAGUUUGGAAUUUAUAACAUCCAUACUGUAAUAGGAAAGCACAUUAGUAGAGGACAUCAUGUUGUGUUAAUUAGCUGUAAUUAUGAUGCAGGCUCCCUAUUUGGCACCAAUUCAACAAAAAUGUGAUCACUAUAACUCAUACGAACGAGGAGCAUCAGAAAAUACACCUAACUGAGUUUAAUGGAAAUCUACAAGCAUCAAAAAAUCAAUUAGCACACAUUAACCCUAAUUAACAAAUGCAAAUGAGAUGCUGAUUAACUUUCUGAAGAAGGCUGCUGAUAAUACCAGAUUAAAUGUGGACAUGUUAGGGCGAUUCAGUUGACACAGAUAAUGCUACCGCUGGCCUAAGUUGUCAGCAUUAAUAAAACAACAAAUUGUAACAAACUGAUGCCACCUGUAGGAGCCUUCAUUGCACAGCUCACAUAGACUGAUUUUAAUUGGUCCUGAUCCAAGUAAAGCUGAUUUUGCAACAGCUCUGAAAUACUUUGAACAACGUCCUUUUUUAUUUUGAAGCCCAAUACUUGAGAAAAUGUUGUGAGAGAAAGAAAGAGAAUCAUUAAAAACACUUGUUUUGGGGAACAGAUCUAGGUGUUUUAGAGAACUGUUGAAUGCCUCCUCAAAUAAUCGUCCUGUUUUCUAUAUUGGUCUGCCUUUUUUUUUUUUUUUUUUUUUUUGGAAGGCAUAGCUGAAAGAAGCAGACCAAGUUGCAAGAAUUCCAGUUUGAACUGCUUCAGAAUCUCUACCUUAGCCAUAGCUGAAAGACAUUCAAAAUUUCCUGAGUACACCAUAAAGGUGAGAAAUCAAGAUUGUCUCCAAGUAUUCAGAGUGAGAGCUGCUCAUUUUACUGAUGAAGUUAAGUGGCCAACAAUUCAAGCAACUCAGGCUGCCAUGAAGCAACAGCUCCCAACACUGCACUGACAGACAGCUUUUAGGAAAAAAGCAUUCAUUCUAAGAAAAUGGAGUAAACUCUGAGGCUUGUCUACCCAGAUGAUUUUUUUUAAACAGCUCCUCAAUGUUACUGCAAACCAUCUCCAAGACAGAUAAGAGACUGUGUCAUUUUAAUUAAUUUUUAUUUAUUUUGAUGCAUCAGUUCUCACCACUAGUGAGGCCAGCAACUGCUGAUGCUUCUUUACAAAGUUUUCAGCAAGAAAACAAAACAAGAAAAAAGCAUCACCAGAACCAACUUAUUUCCUUUUUCUUAUGUGAUCCUCAUUAACUACUAAAAGAUGGUAGCUGCAAUACUUUGUCCAGACAGUUAACAGAUUUCAUUGAUGCCUCCUUAGUACUUAAUUGAGACAUGGUAGGGUCUGGGUGUAGAUACAACCAAUAUCUGAUAAUAAGAGCAUGAACUCUGCACAAAUUCCCUGUGCAUACAUACAGACUGGCAACUGCUUUGCUGCACAUAUCCUUGGGAUCCCCUUUAUGCAGAAGUACUUUCUGAGGGGACAGGAAGGGAGGAUAUUGUUCUCUCUGAGCUACAACAUAAAGCCAAAUUCUUCCUUCAAAGUACUUCAAUUGCAGAUACAGCAAAUUUCCCCCAUGAAGAAAAUUAACAGUAAUCAAGUUGAAACACAUAUAUAAGUACAGUCUAGUAGACCUACAAAUGAAUAAACUGUGUAACAAUAAAGUAUCAAAUUGCCUUAACUACUUAAAGUAAUAGCAAAAGUUGCACAAGAGAGGACUAAACCUGCACAACACUAUCAGCAGUUAGCACACUCAUAUGGGUUUAACUAAGUAGCAGCACAAGCUAGAAUGCUGUUUUUUUUUCUUUUUUCUUUUAAUAGUUCAAUGACUAUUUUUAUAUGGGUAUUUAUCAUAAAACUCAUAAAAUUGCUAUUUGACAGCUUCUCUGUAGAGUGAAGUUUUGUGCUCCUAGAGAUAUCACCGAUGUUUUGUUCUCCCAGCUAUCACAGAUGUGCAGUGCAAAUAUUCAGACAUCAUGGGAAGCAGGCAUUAUCUAUAAUUCAAGAGGUCAGCCUAUGCUUUGCCAUGGCACCUGAUACUAGUGUGUAGAAGAACAGAUAGCAACGUAAUAGUGAAAUAAAACAAAUUUAGACAGCUUUGCACAGAUAAAGAUUGCUUCAAAAUUAAUGUCUCCUAUUUAUUUCCAUGAAAACUAAAAAGAGCACAAUAACACCGUCUGAUAGAUCAAAUCCCCAGCUACAAAACACAAUGUUCAGCACAGUCACUGCCAUUUGCUGUGCAUUUUUUGCCAGAGAUGAACAAGAGCCUGCAUGCUGCACUUGUAAAAAACUGCAUGGCUGACCGGAACAUGGCUCCUCUUUCACACUGCUGUCACCACUGAUGAAAUGCACCACCCACCACCUCACUGUGCUCACAUCCCCUGCCUGGUCUCCACUCCCAAGCUUCCUGUGCUAAACUCUCGUAAGCCUCAGUAAAUAUGUCAGGAUUAUUCUACUACUUUUCUUUCUUCAUCUUACUCUAUUCAGCAUCACACUACUACUAUACAUUCUGGUGUUUAAAGCACUAAGACAGAUCACCAUUUCACCAAAGAUUACUGCUAAAACUGUAAGCUGCAUCGGGCUGGGGCCUGGCAUGACAUUCAAGACCUCACAGGAGAACACCAGUCUUAGGCUGCAAACAAGAUGUGCAUGCCUGCAAAACUUCACCUAUAACUGGAAAAGAAAACAGGUUGUAUUACCUUGUAGUUUCAUACCAACACAGCUAGGAAAAUGCUGAAUAUUAAGCAAGCUGAAAUAGAAAACUACCAUAGAACCUUUACGGCAAGAAUCGUAAGUAGCAGGGAAAUUAACUAACCUCUGGCAAAGUUCAUCUGCCAAAUAUAAAAACCCAAAAACAUGUGACACCACCUAUCAAUUUUCCAGCUGCCACUACCAAUUUUUCUUUAGCUGAUCAAUGGAAAGAUAAGAGCCCCUCUUCAAAGAGCUCAAGACAAUUUUGAUCAUCAGAAAAAAGAAACUUCAAUCAGGAAGUGACUGGAAAAGAUUUGAUAAAACAAGCUUUUCAGGAGCUGUUUGCUACCAAGCUAACCGCUGGGGAAAGCCUCUUAGGUCUGUAAAGACAUCUCUUCUGCCACAUUAACUGAAGUUAAAACAUAAAAGAAGCCAAAGAACCAAGAUUCCAUUGCUUUCAACAGUGUUUUUUUUUUCCUUGAUUAUAAAUCAACAAAGUAACUGAGGUAUGAUUUUUAUUGCUUAUUUUUCAGUUCCCACUUAUCUUCCCAUACCACUACACCGAGCAGCAUUCCUGUGUGCUAAAGCUGGAAUGCUGCUGUGUGUUUCCCAUACUAUUGCAAAUACUGCCCACUGAUCCAGGAGAGUGAACCAGGUCAAAGGUGCUAGGGUCACUUCUUGUUUUCUUUCCUGGAGAAGAGUGUAAGUGCUCUGAAAAAUUGCUCCAUUCCCUGCAAAGCUCACUGCAACAGAUGGUAAGGACACUGAGUGCAGAGUAAUAUAUUACAGAGUUUGUAGAAGUUUUUAAUGCCUCACUUAAAAAAUAUUACUGGUAAGCAAAAAUGUCUUUUUUUUCUGAAACUGGGCAGCUAACUGCUAAAUAACCAUGGUAGUAGGCUUACUCGUAGCACUGAGAACAAAAGCUAGAAGUUUAAUUCACAUAUUUUGAUAGUAAGACUAGUUAAAACAUAGUUGGCUAUGAAAUUUGGGAACUUGGCUAAUUAAAACCUCUGAAUAAAUCAACAGAAUGAGAAAUGUUUUAGGAGUAAGAGCAUUACAGAUUAUCAGUGUAAUACUUUAAAACAGAAGUGCUAUGUCUUAUAUAAAAUCUGAUUAACAUUUUUGAAAUGAUUUUGACCAGUUGAAAUCUGUUAUGAAGUAUCAUCAAUGCAAAAGCAUUUUAACAUUAAUGACAGGAAAUUGCUAUAAUGUUGUAGCUCACAGUGUAACAACUCCAUGAGGAUUAAUCAUCCCUAAAUGGAGAUUCAGUAAAAAAUGAUCCUGCUAUGCUGACACAGCAUUUCCAGGCUACAGUUGCACGAGGCCAGAAUAAGCUAACUCUCCUGCCAGAACAAACUCUCCUCCUACUAUGACAGCUCCACACCUGCCUUUCUUCCCCAGAAAGGUCACCUCCCCAUCCAAUCCACUGUACAGCUGUACAAGUGCCUACACCAGCAUGUGUGCACACAGAGAAAUGGACUGGGGACAGAAGUGCUUCUUUCUGCAGCAGUACAACGUCAUGCAAAUACAGGAAAUGUUACUCUCCCUACUUCCACAACCCACAGCAGGGACAAUUUAGACAGAUAGGCUGAUACAGUUGUGGAACUACACACUGAAACCACUUCAGCCCAUCUCAACAGCCCUGGCCAAUGCAUUCAAAACACCCUAUCACAUAUCCGAGAUAAACUGAUGACAGCUCUCAGUUGAGAUUUGCAUUAAUUCACAGGCACGGUACAGACAGCAUUGCUUUACAUGCCAGAAGACACUGGUCUGCCAAGUUUGUUGGAUCAAAGAUACCUCUUAUGAUCCAGGAUAAUGAUUUAAAAUGGUCAAGCAGGUAUUCUGCAGACAUUAAUUUUGAUGACGAGUGGAAAGCUUUGUCCUAAAGGUAAUGUUUAUAUUAGAAGACUGAUUCUGUUAACUGUGAUUGAUAAGCCUCCCAACAUCAUUAAAAAAGAGAUAGCACUGCCAUGCACUAAAAUGUCAAAAGUGCAUUUAAACUUAUGCCAUAUAAACUUGGCAGAACAGUACAAUGCUUGAAGAUUAAUAUUUAUAAAAAGGAAUAGCUUUAUUUUGGAAGUCUGUAGCUAAUUCACUACUAAUUAAUAUUCUCUAAGAAAUGGUUUAAUGCAAGACUGCUUAAAACAAAGGAAAAAGCAACAGGUAUAUCUGCACUGAAUUAUUAGUUGAGAUUAAUUUUAAAAGUGCUGUGAGAAAUACUUCUCCUAACAUAACUUUCAAUACAUCAGUGUAAAUGCAGUAAUCUAUUACUUGUCUUUUAUACCUCUUUUUGCAGUCUACGAGGACAUCAUACAGCAGUCUUAGAAGAGUGUGCUUUUUGUCUGUGCUGAGAUUCCAGUCAGAAAUCCAUUUUCGGACCUAAGUAGAAUAUAAGUGAAAAGGAAGCACUGGAAAAAGGCUAAAAUAAAACUGUAGUUAUUGACUCUCAAGCAGAAAAGGAUUCAAAAGAAUCUUUCACAGAGAUUUAUCCUCUGCAUCCUCUAACUAUUAGGCUCCCCAUGUAGAAUGUAGAAGUUUUACCACAAGAAGCAGGAAGUCUGCAUUCUCUAUGUUACUCCUUAAGGACAAGAAAUUCCAACACACUGCAAUUCCAGAGCAAGGAACACGAUGCCCCCAAUUCCUGAUCAAAGCUCCUCACUUUCAUUACUAUGACAAGAAGCAGACUCACGGAAUUAUGCACAGAACUAGAAACAAAAACUAAAUUUGAUCUAGAGCAGCUUGAUCUAGAUUCCAUACGUAUACCUUUAAAAGGUAAAAAGUUUUAUGUUCUACAUUUCUAUUUCAUAGACUCUAGCAAAUUUUAGCAAGAAGAGAUUGUCUGUAUCAACUGCGACUAAUACUUAGUGAAAUGCAGUGCGGUUAAUACAGAGGCCACAACUUGAAGCACCAGAGUGAUUACCUGAUCUAAUUCAGUUGGAAUGUACUGGAUGGCACCACAUGAUGAGGCCACUUUAAGAAGGCUGCAGUACACUGUGUAUCUCACAGGAGUGUUCUUAUCCAUGCCAUGGAAGAGAUUGCUCAGUCUAAACCACAAACAACAAAAAACUGAGUUAAAAAGGUUUAGGAAAACAUUUAGGAAAGGUUUAGGAAGAAGGAAUGCAUAUAAAUGUUUCUAGUCAUGUGCGUGCUAGUACAAAGCACGUGGUAGCACCAUAAGUCCAUGCUGAAUUGUAACUGUUCAGUUUUAUAACAGGUUCCAGCAGAGAAGCCAAAAGCUCUGUACAUUUUUAAGUUCAUAAUACUUAGCAAAGAAAGUAUAACGGUAAUUUACUUUAUGAUAAGCAGUAUUCGGGUUUUGUUUUUGUUUUUUUUUUUUACACUUUUCCCUACAGCAGACAAAUCUUAAUCCAACAUCCUACGCUUUGAUUUACAGAGAUGUACGAAAUAAUGUGCUCUCUCUGCGAGAUACCACUGUCUCACUUUUCUCUGUGAAAUACUUACAGCUGCAGUCUGAGAGACGGGCGCUCUCCUUCCCGAAAUUUCACUAACUUCUCACACAGACUUUCAAUCAAUGCUUCCUGUUUGUCAGGUUCCAGGAUAAGAA